rnacentral:rRNA from 1 species
GUGGCGAACGGGUGAGUAACACGUGAGCAAUCUGCCCUUGACUCUGGGAUAACUGCGGGAAACUGUAGCUAAUACCGGAUACUUUCCUCGCUGGGCAUCCAGCGGGGAAGAAAGAAUUUCGGUCAAGGAUGAGCUCGCGGCCUAUCAGCUAGUCGGUGAGGUAAAGGCUCACCAAGGCGACGACGGGUAGCCGGCCUGAGAGGGUGACCGGCCACACUGGAACUGAGACACGGUCCAGACUCCUACGGGAGGCAGCAGUGGGGAAUAUUGCACAAUGGGCGAAAGCCUGAUGCAGCAACGCCGCGUGAGGGAUGAAGGCCUUCGGGUUGUAAACCUCUUUUAGCAGGGAAGAAGCGAAAGUGACGGUACCUGCAGAAAAAGCACCGGCUAACUACGUGCCAGCAGCCGCGGUAAUACGUAGGGUGCAAGCGUUGUCCGGAAUUAUUGGGCGUAAAGAGCUCGUAGGCGGUUUGUCACGUCUGCUGUGAAAAUCCGAGGCUCAACCUCGGACUUGCAGUGGGUACGGGCAGGCUAGAGUGCGGUAGGGGAGAAGGGAAUUCCUGGUGUAGCGGUGGAAUGCGCAGAUAUCAGGAGGAACACCAAUGGCGAAGGCACUUCUCUGGGCCGUAACUGACGCUGAGGAGCGAAAGCGUGGGGAGCGAACAGGAUUAGAUACCCUGGUAGUCCAC